rnacentral:rRNA from 1 species
AACGAACGCUGGCGGCAUGCCUAACACAUGCAAGUCGAACGAGACCUUCGGGUCUAGUGGCGCAUGGGUGCGUAACGCGUGGGAACCUGCCCUUAGGUUCGGAAUAACUCCCCGAAAGGGGUGCUAAUACCGGAUAAUGUCUUCGGACCAAAGAUUUAUCGACUUUGGAUGGGCCGGCGUUGGAUUAGCUAGUUGGUAGGGUAAAAGCCUACCAAGGCGACGAUCCAUAGCUGGUCUGAGAGGAUGAUCAGCCACACUGGGACUGAGACACGGCCCAGACUCCUACGGGAGGCAGCAGUGGGGAAUAUUGGACAAUGGGCGAAAGCCUGAUCCAGCAAUGCCGCGUGAGUGAUGAAGGCCUUAGGGUUGUAAAGCUCUUUUACCCGGGAUGAUAAUGACAGUACCGGGAGAAUAAGCUCCGGCUAACUCCGUG